UCUCGUCAGCUGAGGAGAAUGAUUCAUAGAGGAGGGUCAGGAGAGAAGAACAAUUCUGUCUGUGAAAGCCCACUUAAAAGGCUGGACUCCUCGCGGAGGGAGGGCGAGGCAGGAGAGCAAGCAGGACUUCUGGCCUGACCCCGCCUCAGGCCGCUCGCCAGGCCUCUCUCGAGUCCUGGGCCUUGUCGGGGGCGGCCGCGAGGCGCCGGUUGCUGGGGGACCGGUGACGUAGCGGGGUGAAAGUUGAGGGGCGGUGACGUCGGGCCUGCCCGGGCGGAGGCUGGCGGGUUGGAGGCAGGAGGGAGGGAGGGAAGGAGGGAAGGAAGGAAGCUGGGAAGGAGCGAGCGAGCGGGGGCGCGAGGCGUUUACCUGGAGGCAGCGGCUUGGGCGCGCAGAGCGGCCGCGGCUCCCCCGCACCUGCGGCCAUGGAUGAGGAGCGCGCCCUCUACAUCGUCCGGGCCGGCGAGGCAGGGGCUAUCGAGCGGGUCCUGAGGGAUUACAGCGAUAAGCAUAGGGCUACUUUCAAAUUUGAAUCAACAGAUGAAGAUAAAAGAAAGAAACUCUGUGAAGGCAUAUUUAAAGUCCUUGUAAAGGACAUCCCAACAACAUGUCAAGUGUCCUGCCUGGAAGUUCUCCGCAUUCUCUCCAGAGACAAAAAGGUUUUAGUUCCUGUAACAACCAAGGAAAAUAUGCAGAUACUGCUGAGACUAGCCAAGCUAAAUGAGUCGGAUGAUUCUUUGGAGAAGGUGUCAGAGUUCCCAGUUAUUGUGGAGUCAUUAAAAUGUCUGUGUAACAUAGUGUUCAACAGUCAGAUGGCACAGCAGCUCAGCCUGGAACUUAACCUUGCUGCAAAGCUCUGUAACCUCCUGAGAAAGUGCAAGGACCGAAAAUUUAUCAAUGACAUUAAGUGCUUUGACUUGCGCUUGCUCUUCCUCUUGUCACUUUUGCACACCGACAUCAGGUCACAAUUGCGCUAUGAGCUCCAGGGACUACCGCUGCUAACCCAGAUCUUGGAAAGUGCCUUUAGCAUCAAGUGGACCGAUGAGUAUGAAUCGGCCAUAGACCAUAAUGGACCUCCUCUCUCACCUCAGGAGACAGACUGUGCCAUUGAGGCCCUCAAAGCUCUCUUCAAUGUGACGGUAGACAGUUGGAAGGUGCAUAAGGAGAGUGAUUCUCAUCAGUUCCGUGUCAUGGCAGCUGUCCUUCGCCAUUGUUUACUAAUCGUAGGUCCAACCGAAGACAAAACAGAGGAGCUGCACAGCAAUGCAGUCAACCUUUUAAGCAAUGUUCCAGUCUCUUGUUUGGAUGUUCUCAUUUGUCCAUUAACCCAUGAAGAAACAGCCCAAGAGGCAACGACUUUAGAUGAACUGCCCAGUGAUAAAACAGCUGAGAAAGAAACAGUUUUGAAAAACAAUACCAUGGUAUACAGUGGUAUGAAUAUGGAGGCCAUUCAUGUUUUACUCAAUUUUAUGGAGAAGAGAAUAGACAAGGGAAGCAGCUAUAGAGAAGGUCUAACUCCAGUUCUCAGCUUAUUAACAGAAUGUUCUCGAGCCCAUCGAAACAUCAGAAAAUUUCUCAAAGAUCAGGUUUUACCACCAUUGAGGGAUGUGACAAAUCGACCUGAAGUUGGCUCAACUGUGCGAAAUAAGCUGGUGCGCCUCAUGACACAUGUUGACCUUGGAGUCAAGCAAAUUGCUGCUGAAUUCCUUUUUGUCCUUUGCAAAGAGAGAGUGGAUAGCCUGCUGAAAUACACUGGCUAUGGGAAUGCUGCAGGACUGUUGGCGGCCAGGGGCCUCUUGGCUGGAGGAAGAGGAGAUAAUUGGUACUCAGAGGACGAGGACACAGACACUGAAGAAUACAAAAAUGCAAAACCAAACAUUAAUCUUAUCACUGGUCAUUUAGAGGAACCAAUGCCAAACCCCAUAGAUGAAAUGACAGAAGAACAAAAAGAAUAUGAAGCCAUGAAACUUGUCAACAUGCUUGAUAAACUUUCCAGGAGAGCAGAUGUGAAGGACCUGUACCAGGAUGGUGGUUAGCAACAGUGGCCCGUGCCAAAGCACUUACCAAAGUGAUGACUAAGACCCUGUCAUUAAUUCCAUGUGUCAAUACUGCCCUGUAGUACACAGAGCAGACAAGAAAGAAGAGCCCUUGAAAACAGGGAAUGAUUUUUGAGUCGUUAUCAAGCUAAGUGGCAAGCGGGAAGCUGAAACUCGUAUAGUUGAACAUUCUUGGAGGCUUAUCUCUUCCCUGGCCAGAUGCCUGAUCAGAUGAGAAGCCCGCCAUGAUACUGUCACAGUGCCUAGAAUGGGCUCUUUAUCCAGUAGACAUCACUGUACUUUUUGAUGAUAACGAGGGCAGUCUUAACUUAUGUUAAGGCCUGUAUAUAGCAUUGAAGAGAGGAGUUGCUUAAACCAAUGGGACUAAAACCUGAUGGGACAAUAACGCCUUUGGAGGAAGCACUCAACCAGUACUCUGUCAUCGAAGAGACCAGCUCCGACACAGACUGAAAGCAUCACCUGCUCAACUCUCAUAUUGCUUUUAUCAGCAUCUUUUCUCUGUAGCUCCAGGGGAAUCUUUUCUCUAAAACAUUUAUGCCCUUGCUUUGGCUAGAAACACAUUAACUGGUUUACUCAUUGAGAAUCCAGUAUAUUUAAGAGGUGAUCCUGUGUUUUUGCGAUAUUGAGGCAUUCAUACCGAGCUGCAGUUAGACGGAGUUGCAGGGGCUAGAAGCAGAAAAAAAAGAAUUCCAUUUCAUCAGUAUGGAACUGAAGGACUUCAUUCUAUAAAGCAGCCCUGGCUGAAUCUUUCAUUCUGUUUGCCAAGAUUCUUAGCAGAAGAUUUGGCCGUGUCCCUCCUCUCACUUGUGUGAGCUGCCCCGUCUGAAUCUCUCCAGCAGACAGAAGCGUGUGAGAAGCAGGAUGAGCUGCUAAAUAAGGGCUGAGGCAAGCGACUUGUGAGAUCAAGACUGACUAAAUGGAAGCCAAGCAGCUGCUCCUUAAACCUAGCCCCACUCUUCACUUCAUUUCAAUUUUGUAUAAAUAGAUAGAAAUGCACACACAAACACACACACACACACAGCCCCAGACUUGCAAACUGACUACACUCUAAAAGUUUGUAUAUCACUUAUCUAGAACUUCAGAAUACAUUUCUCCCUAUAAAGAGUUAUAAAUGAUGGUUUAGUUCUGAGGCAGCUACAAAUGCCUAUUUAUUCCCUCAUGUACCUGAACACUAGUACCGUAGAACUGAGCCCCCAUCUGUAUCGUUGCAUGGGGAGCAUGCAUUCUGAGGUCUAACUCGGGGUGCCAGGAACACAUGUCCCCCAACCCAGCAGAGGGAAUGGGGACUCCCUGAGUACUGGGGUUCUUUGGUGGCCUCUGCUGGGGGUGGGGGAGUCGGCAGCACCCAUUUGUACAUAUAGGUCAUUCAUACGUCACAUGUUUUAACUUGGGGACUGUGUGUGUGCUUGUGUGUGUGAGUUCUCCCUUUCUACCAUAUGUGAUCAGUUUAAUGGUAACUUUAUUUAUUUAAAAAAAAAGAAACACAAAUAGUUACUGUUAAACUGAUUAAGGCUGUUUAUUUUUACUUUUAGAAUUGGUCUUAUGAAGUAGAAACUGAAUCAUGCAGUAGACAGUGGGCCUAGUUAAUCAGUGGCUAAAGUUGAAAAGGGGUUGGUUUCCUUUUAUGUAUAUGUAUGUAUGUAUGUAUACAUACAUAUAUAUACACAUAAAUAAUGUGCUUAACCACUGCCUUUUAAAACUUUAAAUUAAAUAAAACAUUGGGGUU